GAACCGAUAGCGCAAUUGGGAGAGCAAUCGCCCGGCAAGCGAGAGGUCGUGGGUUCAAUUCCCAAUUCGGUACC
rnacentral:tRNA from 1 species